AGCGAACGCUGGCGGUAGGCCUAACACAUGCCAGUCGAACGGCAGCACAGUAAGAGCUUGCUCUUACGGGUGGCGAGUGGCGGACGGGUGAGGAAUACAUCGGAAUCUACUUUUUCGUGGGGGAUAACGUAGGGAAACUUACGCUAAUACCGCAUACGACCUACGGGUGAAAGCAGGGGAUCUUCGGACCUUGCGCGAUUGAAUGAGCCGAUGUCGGAUUAGCUAGUUGGCGGGGUAAAGGCCCACCAAGGCGACGAUCCGUAGCUGGUCUGAGAGGAUGAUCAGCCACACUGGAACUGAGACACGGUCCAGACUCCUACGGGAGGCAGCAGUGGGGAAUAUUGGACAAUGGGCGCAAGCCUGAUCCAGCCAUACUGCGUGGGUGAAGAAGGCCUUCGGGUUGUAAAGCCCUUUUGUUGGGAAAGAAAAGCAGCAGGUUAAUACCCCGCUGUUCUGACGGUACCCAAAGAAUAAGCACCGGCUAACUUCGUG
rnacentral:rRNA from 1 species